rnacentral:rRNA from 1 species
CUUUUGUAUAAUGGGUCAGCGACUUAUAUUCUGUAGCAAGGUUAACCGUAUAGGGGAGCCGCAGGGAAACCGAGUCUUAACUGGGCGUUAAGUUGCAGGGUAUAGACCCGAAACCCGGUGAUCUAGCCAUGGGCAGGUUGAAGGUUGGGUAACACUAACUGGAGGACCGAACCGACUAAUGUUGAAAAAUUAGCGGAUGACUUGUGGCUGGGGGUGAAAGGCCAAUCAAACCGGGAGAUAGCUGGUUCUCCCCGAAAGCUAUUUAGGUAGCGCCUCGUGAACUCAUCUUCGGGGGUAGAGCACUGUUUCGGCUAGGGGUCAUCCCGACUUACCAACCCGAUGCAAACUACGAAUACCGAAGAAUGUUAUCACGGGAGACACACGGCGGGUGCUAACGUCCGUCGUGAAGAGGGAAACAACCCAGACCGCCAGCUAAGGUCCCAAAGUCAUGGUUAAGUGGGAAACGAUGUGGGAAGGCACAGACAGCCAGGAUGUUGGCUUAGAAGCAGCCAUCAUU